UACAGAGGUCUCGAGCGUUGUUCGGAUUCAUUGGGCGUAAAGGGUGCGUAGGUGGCACCGUAAGUCGGGUGUGAAAUCCUGAGGCUUAACCUCGGAACUGCAUUCGAUACUGCGGUGCUUGAGGACUGGAGAGGAGACUGGAAUUCAUGGUGUAGCAGUGAAAUGCGUAGAGAUCAUGAGGAAGACCAGUGGCGAAGGCGGGUCUCUGGGCCGAUACUGACGCUGAGGAGCGAAAGCGUGGGGAGCGAACAGG
rnacentral:rRNA from 1 species